AGUCGACGGCAGCCAGAGGAGCUUGCUCCUUGGGUGGCGAGUGGCGGACUGGUGAGGAAUACGUCGGAAUCUGCCUAUUUGUGGGGGAUAACGUAGGGAAACUUACGCUAAUACCGCAUACGACCUUAGGGUGAAAGCGGAGGACCUUCGGGCUUCGCGCAGAUAGAUGAGCCGACGUCGGAUUAGCUAGUUGGCGGGGUAAAGGCCCACCAAGGCGACGAUCCGUAGCUGGUCUGAGAGGAUGAUCAGCCACACUGGAACUGAGACACGGUCCAGACUCCUACGGGAGGCAGCAGUGGGGAAUAUUGGACAAUGGGCGCAAGCCUGAUCCAGCCAUGCCGCGUGUGUGAAGAAGGCCUUCGGGUUGUAAAGCACUUUUGUCCGGAAAGAAAAGCUUCGGGUUAAUACCCCGGGGUCCUGACGGUACCGGAAGAAUAAGCACCGGCUAACUUCGUGCCAGCAGCCGCGGUAAUACGAAGGGUGCAAGCGUUACUCGGAAUUACUGGGCGUAAAGCGUGCGUAGGUGGUUUGUUAAAUCUGAUGUGAAAACCCUGG
rnacentral:rRNA from 1 species